rnacentral:lncRNA from 1 species
GUCCUUCAGCUUCAUGCUGGAGCAGCUAGCAUGUGAUGGAAUGUUGGCCUUGGGGUGGAGGGGUGAGGUGGGCGCUAAGCCUUUUUUUAAGAUUUUUCAGGUACCCCUCACUAAAGGCACUGAAGGCUUAAUGUAGGACAGCGGAGCCUUCCUGUGGCAAGAAUCAAGCAAGCAGUAUUCUAUCGAGACCAAAGUGGUAUCAUGGUCGGUUUUGAUUAGCAGUGGGGACUACCCUGCCGCAACACCUUGCUGGAGUUGAAGCAUCCAAAGAAAAUACUUGAGAGGACCUGGGCUUGUUUUAACAUCUGGAAAAAAGGCUGUUUUUAUAGCAGCGAUUACCAGCCCAAACCUCAAGUUGUGCUUGCAGGGGAGGGAAAAGGGGGAAAGUGGGCAACCAGUUUCCCCAGCUUUUCCAGAAUCCUGUUACAAGGUCUCCCCACAAGUGAUUUCUCUGCCACAUCGCCACCCUGGGCCUUUGACCUAAUCACAGACCCUUCACCCCUCACCUUGAUGCAGCCAGUAGCUGGAUCCUUGAGGUCACGUUGCAUAUCGGUUUCAAGGUUAUGCCCAAUUCGUCUUACUACGUCUGAGUCGACACACCUACUAUUGAAUACUUUGAUUUUAUGAAAUAAAACUAAAUAUCU